AGGAGUAUUCAUCCUAUCAGAACCACAGCUGCAGAUAUGCUCCCUACAAUUCAGAGUAAGAGUAGUUUUAUUUGCAAGCAUUGCUAUUCUCUUUGGUUUGUGGUAUAAUUUGGGUUUUAAUUUUUCUCCUUCCCCUUUCUUGGGUUUAGAAACACGGAGCAGUAGCAAGACAAAGGUUGGAAUCAAUGGUUUUAGUCGCAUUGGGAGGUUAGUCUUGCAUAUAUCGACAACUAGGGAUGACAUUGAGGUGGUAGCUGUCAAUGAUCCCUUUAUUGAUGC